rnacentral:rRNA from 1 species
CGAUUAGGGUUCGAUUCUGGCUCAGGACGAACGCUGGCGGCGUGCCUAACACAUGCAAGUCGAGCGGAGAUGUACUGAAGAUUUAUCGGAUGUACAUCUUAGCGGCGGACGGGUGAGUAACGCGUGGGCAACCUGCCUUUCACUGGGGGAUAACACAGGGAAACCUGUGCUAAUACCGCAUGACAUCACGUAGGGCAUCCUAUGUGAUCAAAGGAGAGAUCCGGUGGAAGAUGGGCCCGCGUCCAAUUAGCUGGUUGGUGAGGUAAAGGCUCACCAAGGCGACGAUUGGUAGCCGAACUGAGAGGUUGAUCGGCCACAUUGGGACUGAGACACGGCCCAGACUCCUACGGGAGGCAGCAGUGGGGAAUAUUGCGCAAUGGGGGGAACCCUGACGCAGCAACGCCGCGUGAAGGAAGAAGGUCUUCGGAUUGUAAACUUCUUUGAUGAGGGACGAAUAAAGUGACGGUACCUCAAAAACAAGCCACGGCUAACUACGUGCCAGCAGCCGCGGUAAUACGUAGGUGGCGAGCGUUGUCCGGAAUUACUGGGUGUAAAGGGCGUGUAGGCGGGGAUGCAAGUCAGAUGUGAAAUACCGAGGCUUAACCUCGGGGCUGCAUCUGAAACUGUGUUUCCUGAGUGUCGGAGAGGAAAGCGGAAUUCCCAGUGUAGCGGUGAAAUGCGUAGAGAUUGGGAGGAACACCAGUGGCGAAGGCGGCUUUCUGGACGACAACUGACGCUGAGGCG